UGGCCCAUGGCGCAGUGGUUAGCGCCUCUGCUUUUGAAAUUUCAGACGCGGGUUCGAUUCUGACUGGGGUCAA